rnacentral:rRNA from 1 species
CCUACGGGAGGCAGCAGUAGGGAAUCUUCCACAAUGGGCGAAAGCCUGAUGGAGCAACGCCGCGUGGGUGAAGAAGGUCUUCGGAUCGUAAAACCCUGUUGUUAGAGAAGAAAGUGCGUGAGAGUAACUGUUCACGUUUUGACGGUAUCUAACCAGAAAGUCACGGCUAACUACGUGCCAGCAGCCGCGGUAAUACGGAGGUGGCCGGCGUUAUCCGGAUUUAUUGGGCUUAAAGGGGGCGCAGGCGGGUGUUUAAGUCGGAGGUUAAAAACUUGGGCUUAACCGAAGCAGGGCAUUGGAAACCGGGGGACGUGAGUGGAGAAGAGGAAAGCGGAACUCGAGGUGUAGCGGUGGAAUGCGUAGAUAUAGGGAAGAACCCCGGUUGCGAAGGCGGCCGUCCGGGGUGCAACUGACGCUGAGGCUCGAAAGUGUGGGUAGCGAACAGGAUUAGAUACCCGGGUAGUC